GGGCUAGUAGCUUAGCUAGGUAGAGCGGCGGACUCUUAAUCCGCAGGCCGCGGGUUCGAAUCCCUCCUAGCCCG
rnacentral:tRNA from 1 species